rnacentral:rRNA from 1 species
CCAAUAGCGUAUAUUAAAGUUGUUGCAGUUAAAAAGCUCGUAGUUGAAUUUCGGGAUCAAUAUUUCGGUCAUGCCGUUGGUAUGCACUGUUAUCAUUGACUUCUCACCUUCUAAAGAACCGUAAUGCCAUUAAUUUGGUGUUACGGGGAAUUAGGACUGUUACCUUGAAAAAAUUAGAGUGUUUAAAGCAGGCUCACGCUUGAAUACAUUAGCAUGGAAUAACGAAAUAGGAACUCCGAUUCUAUUUUGUUGGUUUCUAGGAUCGAUGUAAUGGUUAAUAGGGAGAGUUGUGGGCAUUAGUAUUCAAUUGUCAGAGGUGAAAUUCUUGGAUUUAUUGAAGACUAACUACUGCGAAAGCAUUUGCCAAGGAUGUUUUCAUUAAUCAAGAACGAAAGUUAGGGGAUCGAAGACGAUCAGAUACCGUCGUAGUCUUAACCAUAAACUAUGCCGACUAGGGAUCGGAUGAUGUUAAUUUUUUAAUGACUCAUUCGGCGCCUUACG